UGCCCCUUUUAUAUUGUCCUACUGGUGACCCUCUAAUGAAAGCAGUGCAAUGUUAAAAGGGCA
ensembl:miRNA